GUGCCUGCUUCAGCCAUAUCAAACCAAAAUUGGAACAAUACAAAGAAGACUGGCAUGGCCUUACACAAAGAUGACACACAUUCAUGAAGCAUUCCAUAUAACC
ensembl:snRNA U6 U6 spliceosomal RNA